rnacentral:rRNA from 1 species
AAAAGUUAAUUGUGAGAAUCAAUUUAUUUUGAAUUAAAUAUUUUAUUUAAAAUAAAUUUUUAAAAUAUUCAAGAUUUUUAGUAUAAUAUAAAGAAUAAAUAAUUAUAAUUAUAGUUUAUUAGUAUAGUGAUAGAAAAUUUUUAUAUGGAUUAAAGAAUUGUUUAUUUUAAGUAUCUUGAGUAUCAGGGUUAAUUAAUAUUAAGUAAUAAAUUUUAUUUUCUCGAAAAAAUUAAGAGUUAAAUAUGUAUAUAUAUUAAUGUAGAAUUAUUAUUUUAAAUACAUUAUUGGUAAUGAAAUGUUAUUCGUUUUUUUUGUUAUCUAGUUAUUUAAUAAAUAUAUUUAAUAUAGUUUUUAAUUUAUAAUAUAAUUAUUAUUAAUUAUAUUUUAAGUUAAUAAGUGAUAUUUUAAGGGUUGAGCUUUAAAUUAAAUUUUUAUAUUAAAAUAUAAUAUUUAAAAUUAAGUAGAAUUAGAAUUUUUUAUUUUUAAAAUUAUGUUAUAAUUAAUUUUUAUUUUUAUUUUAUUUAUAUUUUUGUUAAGUUUUUUAUUAAAUAUUAUAAUUAAAUUUUUUAAUUUUAUUUAUAAUGGUUAAAUUAGUAUUAUUAUUUUUGUUUAUUGUUAUUUUUAUGAGAGGUUUAAAUAAGGAAUUCGGCAAAUAUUUUUUUCACCUGUUUAUUAAAAACAUGUCCUUUUGAUUUUUAUUUAAGGUUUAACCUGCUCAAUGAUUAUUUAAAUAGCUGCAGUAUUUUGACUGUACAAAGGUAGCAUAAUCAUUAGUUUUUUAAUUGAAAGCUUGUAUGAAUGGUUGGAUGAGAAAAAAACUGUCUAUUUAAAAUUUAUAAAGAAUUUUAUUUUUAUGUUAAAAAGCUUAAAUGUUUUUAAAAGACGAGAAGACCCUAUAGAGUUUUAUUAAAUAGAUUUAUUUUUAUAUUUUUAAGUAUUAAAAUUAUUAAAAUAAGUAUUUAAUUUGAUUGGGGUGAUUUUAAAAUAUAAAUAACUUUUAUAAUUUAUAAACAUUAAUUUAUGAAUUUUUGAUCCAUUAAUAAUGAUUACUAGAUGAAAUUACCUUAGGGAUAACAGCGUAAUUUUUUUGGAAAGUUCUUAUUAAUAAAAAAGAUUGCGACCUCGAUGUUGGAUUAAAGUUAACUAUUGAUGCAGAAGUUAAUUGGUUGGGUCUGUUCGACCUUUAAAACUUUACAUGAUCUGAGUUUAAACCGGUAUAAGCCAGGUUGGUUUCUAUCUUUAAUAUUAUAUUAAAUUUUAGUACGAAAGGACCAAAUAUAGGUAAAAUUUAUUUUAUAGUGAAUUAUAUUAAUUGGUUAUUUU